UUAUCAGGGAAGAAUUCAACUUCUAAAAGGUCAUAUUCUUUCAGAAAAUCUUUCAAAAAUUAGUAAAGCUUGAUUAACCUUUGCUGCUUAGGGGAGAAUGGAGACAUGAAUUCUAUUUUAAUUGAAGAGAUGGCCAAGGGUUAGGACAGAAUCAAAAUGCAGACACCAACCUGCAGGAUUAGGUAGAAAUGGAAUUCUAAGUAAAAAGGGUAAAAUAACCAGAUACACCAAACAAAGUUUGAGGCAGAAAAGGAAUGGCCUGUCUCAAAGCUGAGAUUGACCCAAGACAACUGAGGAGAGUCAAAAAGCAGAACAUUCCGAAAACAAAUUCAAGAGGACACACUCUCAAGAAUGAUUUUUUUCAGGUGGAGCCUUUUCCCACAAUUACUCCAGCUGUAGGUAACACAAGAGCUUGACUGCAGCGUAUUUCGGAAAAUCCCUGUGGAGUGGGAAGCUAUGCUAAUCAGCACACCUAAAGAGCACAGAGAACACUCAUCAAGAGGACAGCCUUCCGAAUUCUGAAGGG